rnacentral:rRNA from 1 species
CCUACGGGGAGCAGCAGUGGGGAAUAUUGCACAAUGGGCGAAAGCCUGAUGCAGCUACGCCGCGUGAGUGAAGAAGGCCUUCGGGUCGUAAAGCUCUGUCAUCAAGGAAGAUAAUGACGGUACUUGAGGAAGAAGCCCCGGCUAACUACGUGCCAGCGGCCGCGGUAAUACGUAGGGGGCUAGCGUUAUCCGGAAUUACUGGGCGUAAAGGGGGCGUAGGGGGUGUCUAAAGUCAUAGGUGAAAGGCAACGGCUAAACCGUAGUAAGCCUUUGAAAAUGGGGAACUUGAGUGCAGGAGAGGAGAGCGGAAUUCCUAGUGUAGCGGUGAAAUGCGUAGAUAUUAGGAGGAACACCAGUUGCGAAGGCGGCUCUCUGGACUGUAACUGACACUGAGGCACGAAAGCGUGGGGAGCAAACAGGAUUAGAUACCCGAGUAGUC